rnacentral:misc_RNA from 1 species
GGAAGGAUCAUUGAAUCUAUCGAAUCCACUUUGGUAACCACAUGUCCCCCUCGUGCAGUGUCGUCCUCUCUUCGGAGGGGCGGUGCGGCGAGCGUCGGUCCCCUGGCUGCGGCUCCCCGAGUUGUUGUUCCAGGUCCGACGGGCGCCCCUCCACAUGCGUGGAUCCCCACUCAACGUGGGCCCCCUUUGGAGGACCUGGCGUCGGAAAUUCUUAAUUAACCCAACCAACCCCAAACCCAAACUCGCUCUGAAGCAUUUCGUGGCGGCGGUUCGUCCGCUCCACACCAAAUCAAAUACAACUCUCAACAACGGAUAUCUUGGCUCCCGUAUCGAUGAAGAACGCAGCGAAAUGCGAUACGUAGUGUGAAUUGCAGAAUUCCGUGAACCAUCGAAUCUUUGAACGCAACUUGCGCCCGAGGCUUCGGCCAAAGGCAUGUCUGCCUCAGCGUCGGCUCACCCCCUCGCCCCCUCCACCUUUUGUGUCGGUGGGUGGCGGAUCUGGCUCUCCCGGCUCCGCCCGUCCCUCGUGACUGGCUCCGGGUUUGCUGAAGCAUAGCGGUUUGAGCAUGGACCCCGUUCGUAGGGUAAUGGCUUGGUAGGUAGGUAUUCCCUGCACAACCUGCCGUUGCCCGAGGGGACUUUGCUGGGGACCUAGCAGGAAUUCGGCUGUCCGGACCCCCGGCGUCGAAGCCCACUCUUUCGACCUGAGCUCAGGCAAGACUACCCGCUGAACUUAAGCAUAUCAAUAAGCGGAGGAAAAGAAAUCAACUGAGAUGCCCUUAGUAACGGCGAGCGAACCGGGCAAAGCCCAACUUGAAAAUCUCCAACCUCUGGUUGGCGAAUUGUAGUCUAGAGAAGCGCUCUCUGUCCCUAUCCGGCCCCAAGUCCCCUGGAAAGGGGCGUCAAAGAGGGUGAGAACCCCGUUGGGACCGGGUAUUGGGACUCCACGAGACGCUUUCGUAGAGUCGGGUUGCUUGGGAAUGCAGCCCAAAGUAGGUGGUAAAUCCCAUCUAAGGCUAAAUACAGACGGGAGACCGAUAGCGAACAAGUACCGUGAGGGAAAGAUGAAGAGAACUUUGAAAAGAGAGUUAAAAAGUACUUGAAAUUGUUGAGAGGGAAGCGAUUGGAUCCUACGGGUGCGCCCAGGCACACGUCUGCCUAACGGCUGGCUGAAUGCGCUGGGUGCUGGUCAGCAUGGGUUGUCCGGGCGGGACAAAACCGGGGGUUGUUACCCCGGCUACGUCGCCUGGCCGACCGAGGAAUGAAGGGCGCUCUUUGAGUCCUCCGGGAACUGCGCCCUCAAGAUGCUGGCGGAAAGGUUCUAAUCGGCCCGUCUUGAAACACGGACCAAGGAGUCUAACAUGCAUGCGAGCUGGUGGGUGGCAAACCCAUGAAGCGCAAGUAACCUGACUGGUGGGACGGCCUGUGCCUGCACCAUCGACCCCGCUUGAUGUUUUCUGAAGGCCGGGAGUACGAGCAUGCACGUUGGGACCCGAAAGAUGGUGAACUAUGCCUGAGCAGGGCGAAGCCAGAGGAAACUCUGGUGGAGGCUCGUAGAUGUGCUGACGUGCAAAUCGCUUUUCGGACUUGGGUAUAGGGGCGAAAGACUAAUCGAACCAUCUAGUAGCUGGUUCCCUC